GACGAACGCUGGCGGCGGGCUUAACACAUGCAAGUCGACAUGAGUGGCGGGCGGGGGAGUAUUACGUAGGUAACCUGCCCUCCUUUUUGGGAUAAGCCUUGGAAAAGGGGUCUAAUACCGAAUAAAGGGGGAUGGGCGCGCGUCCCAUGAGCUUGUUGGUGGGGGGCUGGCCUACCAAGGCGGUGACGGGUAGCGGGCCUGUGAGGGUGAACGGGAACAUUGGGACGGAGAAACGGCCCAGACUCGGACGGGAGGCAGAAGUGGGGGAUAUUGCACAAUGGGCGAAAGACUGAUGCAGCGACUCCGCGUGGGGGAUGAAGGUUUUCGGGUUGUAAACCUCUUUCGGUAUCGAACGGGUAGGUGGAGAAGAAGCGCCGGCUAACUACGUGCCAGCAGCCGCGGUAAUAC
rnacentral:rRNA from 1 species